AUGUCGCGAAAGGAAUAUUCAUGGUUUCUGAAGACUGACUAUGCUCCCUCGAGUACUACGCAGCAACAAACUCAGGACAACUCAGCUGAGAACUUUAAAAGAGCAAACAAGGUUCUGGCUUCGGAUUCUGAGCCGGUUCACAUAUGGAAUUUCUCUGGGCGAACAACCUUCAUAUUGAUGAAUGAAUGGAACCGUAUGCCCCAAGAUCCUCAGCCUUCUGACCAGGAGAUGAAAACACUGAGUUUACAACUUAUGCAACUACUGUCAGACUCCAGAUCCUUGAUGGUUUUGCCUUCCUCUGCAAUAUGGAUUACCCUGGUAUGGAAGGGAGAACACCCUGUUACUGUCACACCAUGGUGA
rnacentral:rRNA from 1 species